CAAGGAGUAGUUUAAGUAGAAUUUCAGCUUUGGGUGCUGACGGUAGGGCUU
rnacentral:tRNA from 1 species